rnacentral:rRNA from 1 species
UUUGACUGAGCGGCGGACGGGUGAGUAACGCGUGGGUAACCCGCCUCAUACAGGGGGACAACAGUUAGAAAUGACUGCUAAUACCGCAUAAGACCACGGUACCGCAUGGUACAGUGGUAAAAACUCCGGUGGUAUGAGAUGGACCCGCGUCUGAUUAGGUAGUUGGUGGGGUAACGGCCUACCAAGCCGACGAUCAGUAGCCGACCUGAGAGGGUGACCGGCCACAUUGGGACUGAGACACGGCCCAA